UACAGCUUUGCUUGUUGGGCUCCUACAGCUGUUCAGAGUGAUUGGAGGGGUCAUUCUAGCUGGCUCCUGGGCUGUCCUGAUCCAUGGCUGGGCCCACAGACUCACAGGAGUGGAGAUGCGAGAGAGCGAGAGAGAGUGGGAGGGGGGGCUGAGGCUCGCCUCGAGGGCAUCGUUACAAAUUAAGGCGCUGUGCUGCAGACGGGCAGUCUGCACGCUUAGUCCCUCUAACUUAGUUUUCUCCGUUCACCUCCAUCUCGGCACAGCCCCUUUGAUCUGGCCCAUCAUUAAGGCUAAUGGCCCUUGUCUCGCUCAAGCUGUUGGGAGCUCAUUAGGGGGCUUUGGAGUGGCAGGGGGAUACAGACGUAACCUUAAUAAAUCAUUGAUAAUGCUUGAGAGGCUGAGAGAAGACUGGAACCAUAUGGGAAGCAGAGUGAUGCUGAUUCAUCAACACAGAAGAAUAAAGUAUUGUAUGAUUGCCCCCCACCCCCAGGUGUUGGUGAGUCAUGGCUGAAGUCAGAGGCUGGCAUGUGGGGGGAGCUGUCACAGGACUGCUGACAGAUUGGGCUGCAUCCAGGGAUGGACCAUCAUCACAGACCCCCACCACCACCACACAGGUAUCACUGGACUCAGGGAGAAAGAAGAAUUUGGCAGUACGUCCAACCAGCCUCACAACCGCAGACCAUGUGUAACCACUCCAGUCCAAGACCUCCACAUCCGGCUUCUUCACCUGCGGGAUCGUCUGAGACCAGCCACCCAGACAGCUGUUGAAACUGAGGAGUAUUUCUGUCUGUAAUAAUGCCUUUUUGUGGGGAAAACCUCAUUCUGAUUGGCUGGGUAGGCCUGACUCCCAAGUGGGUGGGGCUAUGCCCUCCCAGGCCCACCCAUGGCUGUGCCCCUGCCCAGUCAUGUGAAAUCCAUAAAUGCUGGCCUAAUGAAUUUAUUUCAAUUGACUGAUUUCCUUAUAUGAACUGUAACUCAUUAAAACCAUUGAAAUUGCAUGUUGCAUAAAUAUUUUUGCUCAAUAGAGUAAAACAACUGUUGGCUGUAUGGUAUGUGUAGGACUAUUUCUAAUAGGC
rnacentral:lncRNA from 1 species